rnacentral:rRNA from 1 species
AUUGAACGCUGGCGGCAGGCCUAACACAUGCAAGUCGAGCGGAGCGGCGGACGGGUGAGUAAUACCAAGGAAUCUGCCUCGUCGUGGGGGAUAACGUCCGGAAACGGGCGCUAAUACCGCAUCCUAUCAGAUGAGCCUAGGUCGGAUUAGCUAGUUGGUGGGGUAAAGGCCUACCAAGGCGACGAUCCUUAACUGGUCUUAGAGGAUGAUCAGUCACACUGGAACUGAGACACGGUCAAGACUCCUACGGGAGGCAGCAGUGGGGAAUAUUGGACAAUGGGCGAAAGCCUGAUCCAGCCAUGCCGCGUGUAUGAAGAAGGUCUUCGGAUUGUAAAGCACUUUAAGUUGUGAGGCGUUACCAACAGAAUAAGCACCGGGUAACUUCGUGCCAGCCGCCGCGGUAAUUC